rnacentral:lncRNA from 1 species
CUCUGUUAGUCUGUCAUUCAUCUCUCUCAUCCUCUGUUAGUCUCUCAUUCAUCUCUCUCAUCCUCUGUUAGUCUGUCAUUCAUCUCUCUCAUCCUCUCUGUUAGUCUGACAUUCAUCUCUCUCAUCCUCUCUGUUAGUCUCUCAUUCAUCUCUCUCAUCCUCUGUUAGUCUGUCAUUCAUCUCUCUCAUCCUCUCUGUUAGUCUGACAUUCAUCUCUCUCAUCCUCUCUGUUAGUCUCUCAUUCAUCUCUCUCAUCCUCUGUUAGUCUGUCAUUCAUCUCUCUCAUCCUCUCUGUUAGUCUGUCAUUCAUCUCUCUCAUCCUCUCUGUUAGUCUCUCAUUCAUCUCUCUCAUCCUCUGUUAGUCUGUCAUUCAUCUCUCUCAUGCUCUGUUAGUCUCUCAUUCAUCUCUCUCAUCCUCUCUGUUAGUCUGUCAUUUAUCUCUCUCAUCCUUUGUUAGUCUGUCAUUCAUCUCUUUCAUCCUCUGUUAGUCUCUCAUUCAUCUCUCUCAUCCUCUCUGUUAGUCUGUCAUUCAUCUCUCUCAUCCUCUCUGUUAGUCUCUCAUUAAUCUCUCUCAUCCUCUGUUAGUCUGUCAUUCAUCUCUCUCAUCCUUUGUUAGUCUGUCAUUCAUCUCUCUCAUCCUCUGUUAGUCUGUCAUUCAUCUCUCUCAUCCUCUGUUAGUCUGUCAUUCAUCUCUCUCAUCCUCUGUUAGUCUGUCAUUCAUCUCUCUCAUCCUCUGUUAGUCUGUCAUUCAUCUCUCUCAUCCUCUGUUAGUCUGUCAUUCAUCUCUCUCCAUGAUGUGGAUCUCUUUCCUCACGCCUUUUAUUUCUCCUCCCUCUGUGUUGCUCUCUCUCUCUUUCUCUCUUUCUCCACCUCUCCCUCUAUCUCGGCUAUUCUGACCAGUAGGUUGUUAGUAGUCUCCCUCUGUCUCCCCAUCUCCUUCUCUAUCCUGACCAGUAGGUUGUUAGUAGUCUCCCUCUGUCUCUCCAUCUCCUUCUCUAUCCUGACCAGUAGGUUGUUAGUAGUCUCCCUCUGUCUCUCCAUCUCCUUCUCUAUUCUGACCAGUAGGUUGUUAGUAGUCUCCCUCUGUCUCCCCAUCUCCUUCUCUAUCCUGACCAGUAGGUUGUUAGUAGUCUCCCUCUGUCUCUCGUCCUCACUCUCACCCUCCUUAUCUGUUGUUGGUUGUCUCCCUCUCCCUCACCCCCCUCUCCUCCCUCUCUUUCUCUGUCUCUAUCUCUGUGUCACCUGUGAGUAACGACGGGCCGUGGACUCUAUUCAUCACCCGUUCCUGCACAUGCUCAAUAGCUCUUCAUUAUAUUAAUUACUCUCAUUGGAAGAGUGAUCAUCAGUCCUGUCAGGAUCCAUCACGCCCCGGUUCCCACGACAUUGAGGACCCAGCUGUGGUCCGCGUGGUAAACAAUCACCGGUGGGUGGCUGCCGGUAAGGGGGCUGAUGACUGGCGGCCCCGCCGGACCUUGCGGGGGGGUGGGCUCUAAAUACCGAGGAGGCACCACUCCUGCAGGGCCCCACCCGUCUCUGCCACAGCCACACUGUCCUAAGCACUGUUACAGGAUCAAAUGUGUUUUCAUCCCCAUCAUAAAUGAGGUGAGGAUCGGCUGUCGGGUAAACGGAUUCUGGAUCUGUGAUUAGAGGCGACAAAGAACACACUUCCUGUUUCUUAUGCUUUAAAAUUGUGACGAAGGUGGUUUCUCCUCAGUGUGGAGAAGCUUGGGUGAUUCACAUCAUGUGGAACCUUGCUUGAGACCCAAAGACUUAUGUUUGCUAGCAUAGCUUAAUGCCUAGGCUUCAAAUCAAAGUUUACUGGUCGCAUACACAUGUUUAGUAGAUGUUAUUGUGGGUGACGUAAAAUGCUUGCGUUUCUAGCUCCAACAGUGCAGUAAUAUCUCAGCUCAGUGGGAUAAUGCGAUCUUGAGGAUUCUGCUAAUAUAGAACCAGUCCAGCAGCAGAAAUCUGCAGCUAUUAAGAGCCAAUCAGGCCCAGUAAUAUAACAGCUCUCUCUAUGGCCUUUUCACUCCCUGUUUAAGGCUGUCUUCAUGGUCAAUUGACCUAAUGCCUCAUCCCUGUCUCUGUUAAUUGGAACAGUUAGAGAGAGAGCGAGCGAGAGAGAGAGAGCGAGAGAGAGCCCAUUUGGGGUGUUCUCUCCAUCCCUCUGUGCCACAUCCAUCUUCCCAUAAUGCAUCCUGACGGGGCGGAACUGCCCCUCCCCCCAUGUACCGUGUCACCCGCAGAACGGGCUGCCUGCUGGACAUGGAAUGAUGGGAUACAGCGUUCUCUGCUGUCAUCACUAAUCCUGCGCUCUCAUCCACACAGCUGAAUCUUCAUCUCACCCUAAAGUGUGUACACACACACACAUGCAGGUGGCAGUCGCCUCAGGGCACUGGGCUGUGGUAAGCAGGUAAAUAUAGAGAGGACCGUCUUUAUUAGAAUAGAAAAGACUCUGCUGCUGUCUGUCAGAGGUAAACGUGAGGGAUUGGAGCUAUGCUGCCUCAUCCAAAGCUCUUCCUGGUUAUUCCCAACAAUAGCCCCCUUCACGGGGCCAAAGCACUUCCUGGUUAUUCCCAACAAUAGCCCCCUUCACGGGGCCAAAGCUCUUCCUGGUUAUUCCCAACAAUAG